ANNCUGCGGCUGCUACCAUGCAGUCGACGGUGAACACGGAGCUUGCUCUGUGGGAUCAGUGGCGAACGGGUGAGUAACACGUGAGCAACCUGCCCCUGACUCUGGGAUAAGCGCUGGAAACGGCGUCUAAUACUGGAUAUGUGACGUGACCGCAUGGUCUGCGUUUGGAAAGAUUUUUCGGUUGGGGAUGGGCUCGCGGCCUAUCAGCUUGUUGGUGAGGUAAUGGCUCACCAAGGCGUCGACGGGUAGCCGGCCUGAGAGGGUGACCGGCCACACUGGGACUGAGACACGGCCCAGACUCCUACGGGAGGCAGCAGUGGGGAAUAUUGCACAAUGGGCGAAAGCCUGAUGCAGCAACGCCGCGUGAGGGAUGACGGCCUUCGGGUUGUAAACCUCUUUUAGCAGGGAAGAAGCGAAAGUGACGGUACCUGCAGAAAAAGCGCCGGCUAACUACGUGCCAGCAGCCGCGGUAAUACGUAGGGCGCAAGCGUUAUCCGGAAUUAUUGGGCGUAAAGAGCUCGUAGGCGGUUUGUCGCGUCUGCUGUGAAAUCCCGAGGCUCAACCUCGGGCCUGCAGUGGGUACGGGCAGACUAGAGUGCGGUAGGGGAGAUUGGAAUUCCUGGUGUAGCGGUGGAAUGCGCAGAUAUCAGGAGGAACACCGAUGGCGAAGGCAGAUCUCUGGGCCGUAACUGACGCUGAGGAGCGAAAGGGUGGGGAGCAAACAGGCUUAGAUACCCUGGUAGUCCACCCCGUAAACGUUGGGAACUAGUUGUGGGGGUCCAUUCCACGGAUUCCGUGACGCAGCUAACGCAUUAAGUUCCCCGCCUGGGGAGUACGGCCGCAAGGCUAAAACUCAAAGGAAUUGACGGGGACCCGCACAAGCGGCGGAGCAUGCGGAUUAAUUCGAUGCAACGCGAAGAACCUUACCAAGGCUUGACAUAUACGAGAACGGGCCAGAAAUGGUCACUCUUUGGGACACUCGUAAACAGGUGUGCAUGGUUGUCGUCAGCUCGUGUCGUGAGAUGUUGGGUAAGUCCGCACGAGCGCACCCUCGUCUAUGUGCAGCACGUAUGUGGUACUCAUGNNUACUGCCGGGUCACUCGAGAGGUGGGAUGACGUCAAUCAUCAUGCCCCUUAUGUCUGGCUCCACGCCAUUGCUACAAUGNCGNACAAGNNCGCAUAUACGGUGAGGUUGANCGAAUCCCANANCGNCCANNNCGGAUUGUGGGUGUGCAAUUGCACCCUUCAUGNNA
rnacentral:rRNA from 1 species